CAAGCAGCGGUGCCUCACGUCCAGCACCACCAACCAGUCUCCAAGCGAUGCCAGAUCCCACGAAAGUUUACUUGCCCAGCGGAGCAUCCCCACCGCCUCCAGGAGCUUCUCCCACAGCCUAAACUUCAGAGCCCCCCCUCCUGCGCCGCGGGGGCUUGGGGCAGCACCCCGAGGACCAUUGCUGGGACCCGGGGCAAAGUUUCGGCGACCCUUUCGGAGGCGAGCCAGGCGGGGAGCACCGCACCCCGCAGCCCCCCGGCCCCCUGCUCUCCUCUCCUCUCUUCUCCUCUCCCCCCGCCGCCUGCCGGGCUGAGAUCGCCUCCGGUCCCCCCCCCGGCGGGCAGCGUUACCUGCAGCGCCCGGCGGCCGCCUCAUGGCCGGGGAACGCGGUGCCGGUGCCGGCCCCGCCGCCAGCCCCGCAUGCUCCGCUCCGCUCCUCUCCUCUCCUCCGGCGGCUGGGGGAAGUUUGGGGUCGCAGCCAGCGCCGGCAGCACGGCUGAGGAUGUUGAUGAUGAUGAUGAUGAAGAUGAGGAUGAGGAUGAGGAUGAUGAGGACGAAGAAGAAAGGCAGGAGCUUGCCUUAGGCUUCAAUUAUUUUUUUUACUGUAGCGUCCCCAAUAGCGUUUGUACACAACAUAAUGUGAUCUUUAGCAGUGCAGUUACUUGUUCUUCUCUUCAACGCACAUCUUUGGAUGGGACUUUUGGGGCAGAGGAGUGGGAGGAGAAAGGUGACAGCACACCACUGUCCUUCACCUGUCUUGGUGCUGGUGUUGGUGUUCCCAGCCUUGCCCUGUUGUUUUCUCCAUGGAACUAGGAAGAAGUGAUUGCUCUGCACGGGGUGGCCAGGGGUGCCACCCACAACCCAGCUCAGGAAAGCAGAUUCUUCACAAUGGUCAUAAAGUCUUUGGGUCAAACCCUCUUGUUUCUGAGCUAACCAACAUCAGCUUCAGGGGGCUACCCAAAAGAUGAGGAGCCACUGCCAGAGGGGAGCAAGGGGAGACAGUAUCUGGUGUAAAGGAAUAUAUAAUUAUGGCUUGCUUGUACUUGCUUCCAAAAAAAAGUAUAUUAACACAUGAUCAAUGCUGACCAGCAGAAUACAUUAUCAGCCUCAAAAGCCGUGCAUUGAAAGCUGUGCAUUGACUGUUAAUGAUGUUGUAAAAUUCUGUGUAAUAUACAGUGCAUAAAAAAUCACCAUUUGUAAUAAAAUACAGUAGAAAAUAAAAUACA
rnacentral:lncRNA from 1 species